AACCAAUAUUUUUCGGAACAUAACACACAUUUUCGAAAAAUCGCAAAAUUUGCCCAAAAAUUGACUUAAUUUUAGACAAAAUUGACAGAAUUUGUCCCAUUUUUUUUUUAUUGUAAACCAAAAUUGCCCGACUGUUGAUCGAAUAUUGCCCGACUGCCCAAAAAACUGGGGGGGCUGCCGCCCCCCCCGCCCCCCCGCCCGGUACGCCUAUGGCAAAUACAAAAUAUUGAGAAACUAUCACGUAUAAGUAUAAACUACACGCGAUUAUUAUUGCGCCUUUGGCUUUGAACAAUUAUUCGCCGAAGGCGCGAGGCCGUGAUUAUCCGGGAAUUUGUAGUCUCCCUCGCAGGCGCCAGUUGUGUACGUUCUCUCUGAUGUCUGCGAAGGAGGCUAGGGAAUUUGUCAAAUUUGACCAAUCAACUUGACAACUUGUAGGAUUUGUUGUACUAUUUAUUCACUUGCGCAAAAAUACUAUUGACGGUAUAUUGUUCAUCUUUGCAUAAUAGUUUACACCGGUUUAGCGCCUGCCUAAAUAGGCUGUGUUUACAAUGUAUUUUGUCUGUGUCAGUUUUAGCUUUUCAUAAAUGUAUUCAGCCAUAGUGAACACGAAAACUCUCAUAGUCAUCAUAUACUUUAUAAAAUACGAAUGUAUGAUACAUUAUUAUAUAAUUGGUAGUACUGACUACUUUAUGAUAAUCUAUAGUAAUUAGUAUUACUUUAUGUAUAUAUUUAUGUCUAUAUUAUUGUCUAUAUAUGGCUCUUUUGCGUACGUUAUGCGGCUGAGCAUUAAUCUUUAUACUACGAUUGCGAUUCCCGCCUGGUUCAUCACUUGCAAGUGGUAGUAUUACAGUAAACGUGGCAAAUAGUUGCUAGACUACCUGAACCACAUAGACAUAGAUUUUUGCCUUCUCACACACAACUGAGUAGGUCUUAAAAAGUGUGUAAAUUUCCGUUAGUCGAAUAUUCCUGUCCAUCUACUAACACUUAUUAAUAAUAACUGAUGCACUUAGUCUUAUAGUGAUAUGGAUAGCUAACUAGAAUGUCUUUCAAAAAUAAGUAACAUUAACAAAACGUUACUGUGUAACGGAGUAAACAAUUACACAAUACUGCAGUACUAGUAUAAACUAUUAUGCAAAGAUGAACAGUCACAAUACUCAAUACUCAAUAGGCGCGAUAAUAAUCACUUGUAUAGUUAAUAUUUUGUAUUUGCCGAGACACUUUUGUCACA